rnacentral:tRNA from 1 species
UUUGUGGUGGUGCAGUGGGUAGCACUGUCGCCUCACACACAGCAAGAAGGUCCUGGGUUUGAAUCCCGGUCUGAGCC